UGUUAUUGGAUGAAUGCUUCAUAGUGUU
rnacentral:piRNA from 1 species